UACGUAGGAGGCGAGCGUUGUCCGGAAUCAUUGGGCGUAAAGAGCUCGUAGGCGGCCUGUCGCGUCUGCUGUGAAAUCCCGGGGCUUAACCCCGGGCGUGCAGUGGAUACGGGCUGGCUGGAGGCAGGCAGGGGAGAACGGAAUUCCCGGUGUAGCGGUGAAAUGCGCAGAUAUCGGGAGGAACACCGGUGGCGAAGGCGGUUCUCUGGGCCUGUACUGACGCUGAGGAGCGAAAGCGUGGGGAGCGAACAGG
rnacentral:rRNA from 1 species